AACGAACGCUGGCGGCAUGCCUAACACAUGCAAGUCGAACGAGACCUUCGGGUCUAGUGGCGCACGGGUGCGUAACGCGUGGGAACCUGCCCUUAGGUUCGGAAUAACUCCCCGAAAGGGGUGCUAAUACCGGAUAAUGUCUUCGGACCAAAGAUUUAUCGCCUUUGGAUGGGCCCGCGUUGGAUUAGCUAGUUGGUAGGGUAAAAGCCUACCAAGGCGACGAUCCAUAGCUGGUCUGAGAGGAUGAUCAGCCACACUGGGACUGAGACACGGCCCAGACACCUCCGGGAGGCGGCAGGGGGGAAUAUUGGCAAAUGGGCGAAAGCCUGAUCCAGCCAUGCCGCGUGAGGAAGGAAGGCCUUAGGGUUGAAAAGCCCUUUUCCCCGGGUUGUAAAGGACGGUACCGGGAGAAUAAGCCCCGGCUAACCCCG
rnacentral:rRNA from 1 species